UAGCUUAUCUGGAUCUGACCCUAGAGAUUUUGCAAAGAAAACUCAGGUGGGGUUUUAUGGGAAAGCAUUUUCAGCAAUUAUUUGCUUAUGUUUUUUAAUAUUUACCGAGGACAUAUACAUUAAAGUGACGAGGUCGAGAAUUAAGGUAGUAUACUAGUAAUUAGUGUUAGUCUUGUAUUUUGUUGUUGGUAGAUUUUACUACUACAUGUUUUUCCUUUGCUUCGUUUUCUUAUUAUUUUAGUGUUGUUACGCAUGUUACUGUUGCUGUUGCUGUUGCUUUCUUUUCAUCCUUUCUAGAGCUGGAAGGCAGUAGUAAGUUUUAAGCUAAAUUUCACUUGUGUGAUUAUACUGCUUGGUUAAAAUACCUACAACUCACGAAAGCAUACUGUAGUGCCAUUCAUUCAGGCUAAAAUGGAGGAUUUCUUUCUUGGUGAAGAUUGCCUGUAAUUGAGGAGUCAAUUUUUACCCCAUGGCCCAUUUUUUAUCGUCUCAUUAAACAAAUACUCCUAUUUUUUGAAUAGUCUAUGAAGGGUAAAAAUCUUACUAUGCAACUUGUCCUAUACUUAUCACUAUAUGGUCCUUGUGAAUGCAAUUAAGAUAGGUACCAAACUCACCUUAUUUUGUUGUGCAUUCAAUGUAGCUAAAUGAACUUAGAUCCCCUUUUAUUUUUUUAUUUUUUUCUCUGUUGAUCUAUAUUUGGAGGGUCAAUUUUUUUUAUUUUUUUUUAUAGUAUUUGUUUUAGAACCAUGAAAGGGAGAGUUGGCGUAACUGGUAAAGUUGCUUCCAUGUGACCAGGAGGUCACGGGUUCGAGUCGUGGAAACAGCUUCUUGCAGUAAUGCAGGUAAGACUGUGUACAAUACACGUCCGGCCUUUCCCCGGACCCCAUAUUUCCCCGGACCCCAUAUAUAACGGGAGCUUAGUGUGCCCUUUUUGUUUUUGAACCAUAUAAUGUGUCUUGUGUGCAUUUAUUGUUAUCUCACAUUGGAUUCCCUAUGUUUCAUUCUACAAUAUUAUUGGCCAUUUGCUAGUAUUAUGAUAUUUAUGUAAUCUUUGCAGAGUUAGUGGGGCAGAGGGCAUUGAAACAGGAAAAAUCUUCUUAACACCAAGAUUUUACUCUGUGGGCCUAAAGGUUGUUGAGAUAUGCAGACCCCAAAAGCAAG
rnacentral:lncRNA from 1 species